AUCAACCUAUAGGUGUUCUGCUAUGCCAGCUUCCUUCCCUCUACCAGCUUCAGUGUGCUCUAACCCCUUUGCUGACCACGUUCCCUACUUUCCAAACCACAUCCUUGGUCCUGUGCUCCUCCUCUUCCUCGCUCUUCUGCAAGGAACUUCACUGCCCAUGGCAUGCACUGCAAGGCUUGGAGAUAGCUGUCAUAUGUCUUGAUUUUGAAUGGUGGUAAUGAAGGACUGUUUGCAGAAUGCAUCUGAGAGACAAGAUUCCUGCUAGCCAAUUUAUUUUUCAGAUAACAAGGACUGUCUGGAAGUACAUUCAGAAGGAAAACACAGUAAUUAAUUUGUCACUGAAACCUGAGGGGUCCUCUUCCUCAUAUAGGUGAUAAUGAAGGUUUUGCAUGUAAUUAGCAGGAAUAAUUAGCACGUUUCUGGUAACAAAUAGACGGAGUGGUUCUCUGCAAAUAAAUUAAUUGUUGUGCUAACACAGGCAAUUGUCUCCUUAUUGUCUGACAAUGGCCCUUGUUUGCACUAAAGCUUAUUUCAGUCCUUAGCAGCUUUACACAAAUAGGAAAGAGAAUCUAUAAAAUUGUGCCUCAUCCAUCUGCUUCUGAGAAACUUCAAGACCACCAGGGGACUUGUUUGUCAAGGCUUGUUAAACAAUUUGUAAUCUUGAACAUGUGUUUCAGUAUAUUAACAAAUGAAUUGUUCAAAUUAACUUAGUGGGCAAGCCAGGAAAACCACAGUAAUCAAUCAAGUCCCGAGUCUGGGCAUCUUGGAGCAGAAAUCUCUGAAAAAUAAUACAGCAGUAAAGUCACAGCAAAGCUAUAUGGGAGCCGAAUGAAUCCCAGAACGUUACAUGUAGCCAUGCAGCAAAGCGGGACUGUUACGGAGUUACGCUGCUCAUAGUGCGAAAUCACAUUGUGAUGUAUGUGCCCUUAGAGUCACCGCGGUGAAGAACCUCGGUCAGACAGCCGGUACAGCCUGCACGUGUUCCUUUCUGAAGAGCUGAAAGGGUACUGUGGAGCUAAGCCUUUCCUCUCUUUCUUUUUCUUGAGUUGCCUCUUCUUAGACCUAAUUGUUAUCUCAGCAGUAAUGUCAUAUUAACUCCUGGGUCUUUAUCAAUUUGGGAGCUGUUCGUUGUGUUGAAGUCUGCAGCUAAGUUUAGUCCCAUCUAAUGGAUCUGUGGAAAAAAAGAGGGAGGGGAAAUGGGAGAAAUGUAGUUUGAAGAUGGGAUACUACGUGUAUCCUAUUGGAUUGGGUAAAAUCAUGCAUUUGUUUUGUGGGAAAUACUGGCUCUUGUAUAUUUUUCCUCUUCCAGUGAUAAUUCUCCAGCAUUUCGCUGGAAUGGAAACGAGGAUAUAAUUAUUAGGUAUACAUAUAUAUAUAUUUGAGGGUAGGGUUACCAUAUUUUUCCAAAAUAUCAAUUUGUAAUUUCAUUUUCAAAUGAGUAUUUAUAUUCAUGUGUGUGCUUUCUUUCUUUUUUUUUUUUUCAUUGUUUCCUAACUUAUCUCCAGUCACUGUGGCACUGUGCAAUGCUUUUGUCAAUCAAUGUUAGAGUAAUAACAGUACAAAAACUAAAAUAAAUCCCCAGAUAUAAUGCUGGCGCUUUAUGGAAUGCAUUUCUAAGCUAGCCCUGCAUUUUUUUUAAAGACAAAUGUUGUUUAAUAAAUAUAAUUUAUUGAAAAAAAAAAAAAGAAAAUUAGUUUCCUAUACUAAUGUUUUCUGCAUGAAGUGAAAAUGUAACCAUUGGACAUACACAUCCCCUUUUCUUGCCUUAUUGGAGAGAUGUUACUUGUACUAUAUCUGUAUUUUUGUUGUAGUUGACUAAUAUUUUGUCUGGGAAUAUUAAACAA
ensembl:lncRNA